rnacentral:lncRNA from 1 species
ACAGGGAGCUAGUGAGCUGCUCUGAGUCUCCUUUUCAUCUGCCGAAUGAGACGGACAGGAUUCUCCAUGGUCUCCACGAAGCCCUCGCGGUGGCCACCCUUGCCUCUGCUUCCUCGCACUCACCAGCAGACCUGUUGUCUGUACAGAACACAAGACCAGCAUUCAACCUCAUCUCUUUCCACUGUGACUUACCGUGUGCACUAGGUAGACCAGUGUUAUCCCUAACUGCCAUCCCUCCCAGGACCUAAGAAUGUAAACGUAUUGGGAAAUGGGGUCGUUGCAGAUGUAAUCAUUCAAGACCAAGUCACAGUGGAGUAGGGUGGCCCCUUCAUCCAGCAUGACCGAGUCUUUAUAAAAAGAGAAGCCACAGAGAACAUCAUGUGAAGAUGGUGGCCAAGACUGCAGUGAUGGUCUACAAGCCAAGGAGCUCCAAUGGUGCCGGCAAAACUAGAGAGACACCAAAGACCAGGAAGGAGCCUCCCCUGGAGCCUUCAGAGAACCCAGCCCUGCCAGCACCUCAGUUCCAGACUUCCAGCUUCCAGAACCUGGAGAUGGUGACUUUCUGCUGUUUAUGGUGACUCGUUCUGGCAGCACUGGCAUAGGUGGUAUUGGAGUGGCCACGUGGAUGCAGGGAGAGCAGUUGAGUGGGGUUACUUUAGCUUAGACUUAGCGGGUCACCUUCUUGCGGUUCACAUACCUCUUCCUACGGAGUGUAGUUACUGCUAACCAGAGAGGUUGGGAAUGACAGUCCACUGUGCACACUCAGCCUGCUGGUGACAUGGAAGGGCAGGAUUAGAGACAUGCCAUGAUAGUAACACACAUGGGCCACCAGAAGUAAGUGGAGAUGGGGAAGCAAUAUUAGGAAUAGAACAAGAAAGGAAAAAAAUCAAUGAUCUCAUAUGUAAAAUUGCCUAAAAAUUAAUGAACUAAGUCUCAUCAAUAUCUGGUCAAAACAGAAAUUCUCUCAUCAAUAAGAGAGUGAAGGGGCUGGGGUUGUGCUCAGUGGUGGAGCACUUGCCUAGCACGUGUGAAGCACCACAUAAAAUAAAUAAAAUAAGAAUAUUGUGUCCAUCUAUAACUAAAAAAAAAUUAAAAAUAACAGAGUCGAUAAUGCAAUGUUUACCAUUAUAAACACACCAUAAUUUUUUUCUUUUAUGCUUG